GACGAACGCUGGCGGCGUGCCUAAUACAUGCAAGUAGGACGCAGUUGCGAACGGGUGAGUAACGCGUAGGUAACUACCUAUUAGAGGGGGAUAACUAUUGGAAACGAUAGCUAAUACCGCAUACUAGUAGAUGGACCUGCGGUGUAUUAGCUAGUAGGUAGGGUAAUGGCCGACCUAGGAAAAGAUACAUAGCCGACCUGAGAGGGUGAUCGGCCAUACUGGGACUGAGACACGGCCCAGACUCCUACGGGAGGCAGCAGUAGGGAAUCUUCGGCAAUGGGGGGAACCCUGACCGAGCAACGCCGCGUGAGUGAAGAAGGUUUUCGGAUCGUAAAGCUCGGGUGUUAAGGAAGGGGGACGUAACCUGAAAGGGACGGCUAACAACGUGCCAGCGGCCGCGGUAAAC
rnacentral:rRNA from 1 species